rnacentral:lncRNA from 1 species
UAAAUAUUGAAUUUUCUAGAGCCUUUACACAAUGAAUUAAAAUCAGUUAGUAGUGGAUACUAAACUGUACAGUUGUCAUCUCUAGGGAUUUCUUUUGUGCUGACAUUUGAGCAGACGUUUUUUUUGCUGACUGAAUAUCUCUUUGUUGUGGUGUGUUGAGCUUGUUAAUGACCAAAUUCUUAUGUGGCAGCUGCACAUUACACAUGCUUAUUCUCCAUGUUUAGGCCAUAAAUCUCCAGUAACUGAGUGACAGCACCACCUGCAUAGCCUUUCAGAUUGCAAAUAAUGCUCUAAUAAUGUUAUUUCAAAGAUACUUCAUACAUGUUUUCUUACACAUUUUAGCUCUGCUGUGACAAUGGAAUGGUAUAUAAGGGUAGGAGAAAUUGUUGUUUUUUUUAUGUGAAUUUUAUGAUACAGACUAUUAGCAUUUCUUAUAUACAGAUUUAUAGAACAUGGAACAUCAAGGGUAUUUGGUAUAUACCCAGGUGAAGUUUAUUAAUUACUUGGAGUGAUUCUGAUCAUGUUAUUUUUUUUCUACAUAAAAUCUAUUCAAUAUUUGUAUCAUUGGAGUAAUGACAUAGUCAUUCACCCAUCCCAUCCAGAGCAUUUUUUUAAAUUUAUUUAUUUAUUCUAAUUAGUUAUACAUGACAGCAUAAUGCAUUUCAAUUCAUAACACACAAAUGGAGCGUGAUUUUUCAUUUCUCUGGUUGUACACGAAGUAGUCAUACCAUCCAUGUUGUCAUACAUGUACCUAGGGUAGUGAGUCCAUCUCAUUCCACCAUCUUUCCUACCCCUGUGCCCUGUCCCUUCCCUUUGCCCUAUCCAAAGUUCCUCCAUUCCUCCCAUGCCUCACCCCUUCUUUAUGGAUCAGCAUCCACUUAU